rnacentral:rRNA from 1 species
GAUGAACGCUGGCGGCGUGCCUAAUACAUGCAAGUCGAGCGAACAGACGAGGAGCUUGCUCCUCUGACGUUAGCGGCGGACGGGUGAGUAACACGUGGAUAACCUACCUAUAAGACUGGGAUAACUUCGGGAAACCGGAGCUAAUACCGGAUAACAUGUUGAACCGCAUGGUUCAACAGUGAAAGACGGUCUUGCUGUCACUUAUAGAUGGAUCCGCGCCGCAUUAGCUAGUUGGUAAGGAAACGGCUUACCAAGGCAACGAUGCGUAGCCGACCUGAGAGGGUGAUCGGCCACACUGGAACUGAGACACGGUCCAGACUCCUACGGGAGGCAGCAGUAGGGAAUCUUCCGCAAUGGGCGAAAGCCUGACGGAGCAACGCCGCGUGAGUGAAGAAGGUCUUCGGAUCGUAAAACUCUGUUAUUAGGGAAGAACAAAUGUGUAAGUAACUAUGCACGUCUUGACGGUACCUAAUCAGAAAGCCACGGCUAACUACGUG